AUUGAACGCUGGCGGCAGGCCUAACACAUGCAAGUCGAACGAGUGGAGGACGGGUGAGUAAUGUCUGGAAAACUGCCCGAUGGCGGGGGAUAACUACUGGAAACGGUAGCGAAUACCGACUACCAUAGGAUGUGCCCAGAUGGGAGUAGCUAGUAGGUGGGGUAAAGGCUCACCUAGGCGACGAGCCCUAGCUGGUCUGAGAGGAUGACCAGCCACACUGGAACUGAGCCACUGUCCAGACUCCUACGGGAGGCAGCAGCGGGGAAUAUUGAACAAUGGGGGCAAGCAUGAUGCAGCAAUGCCGCGUGUAGAAAUCAGGCUUUCGGGUUGUAAUGUACUUUCAGCGAGGAGGCGUUACUCGCAGAAGAAGUACCGGCUAACUCCGUGCCAGCAGCCGCGGUAAUUC
rnacentral:rRNA from 1 species